rnacentral:rRNA from 1 species
UGGGGAAUAUUGGACAAUGGGCGAAAGCCUGAUCCAGCCAUGCCGCGUGUGUGAAGAAGGUCUUCGGAUUGUAAAGCACUUUAAGUUGGGAGGAAGGGCAUUAACCUAAUACGUUAGUGUUUUGACGUCACCGACAGAAUAAGCACCGGCUAACUCUGUGCCAGCAGCCGCGGUAAUACAGAGGGUGCAAGCGUUAAUCGGAAUUACUGGGCGUAAAGCGCGCGUAGGUGGUUUGUUAAGUUGGAUGUGAAAUCCCCGGGCUCAACCUGGGAACUGCAUUCAAAACUGACUGACUAGAGUAUGGUAGAGGGUGGUGGAAUUUCCUGUGUAGCGGUGAAAUGCGUAGAUAUAGGAAGGAACACCAGUGGCGAAGGCGACCACCUGGACAAAGACUGACGCUCAGGUGCGAAAGCGUGGGGAGCAAACA